ensembl:miRNA
CCAUUACUGUUGCCAAUAUGCAACUCUGUUCAAUACAAAUUGGAAUUGUGUUUUAGCAAUGGUGAUGG